AUGCUUUCACAACUUGACUUCAAAAUAUUUGGUUUGGAGACCAUCAAAGAUCAAUAUGUGCAUGAUGCUGAUUUUAAAGAUGUAAUGCAGAAUUGUAAAGAAGGAAGAAUGUGGAACAAGUUUGUUGUUAACGAUGGAUUUGUGUUUCGUGCUAACAAGCUAUGCAUUCCAGCUAGCUCCGUUCGUCUUUUGUUGUUUGCAGGAGGCGCAUGGAGGAGGAUUAAUGGGACACUUUGGCGUGAAGAAGACGGAGGACGUACUUGCUACACAUUUCUUUUGGCCAAAGAUGAGACGGGAUGUUGA
rnacentral:rRNA from 1 species